rnacentral:rRNA from 1 species
UACGUAGGUGGCAAGCGUUGUCCGGAUUUAUUGGGUUUAAAGGGUGCGUAGGCGGCCCCAUAAGUCAGUGCUGAAAUACUCUAGCUCAACUAGAGGGGUGGCAUUGAUACUGCAGGGCUUGAGUACAGACGAGGUAGGCGGAAUUGACGGUGUAGCGGUGAAAUGCAUAGAUAUCGUCAAGAACACCGAUAGCGAAGGCAGCUUACUGGGCUGUAACUGACGCUGAUGCACGAAAGUGUGGGGAUCAAACAGG